rnacentral:lncRNA from 1 species
ACUCUGGAGCCGCGGCACAUCUGGAUGGAGUCAGCUGCCUAGCGCCAGGGGCCAGCACGGCCCAGCCAGCGGAGCGCGGCGCAACAUAAUAUGAGACAAGGGCCAAGAACUGCAGAACUGUGCACGGUGUUUAGAAGAGGCUGCGAGCUGCUGCUCUGCAGAGUUGGGAGGUGCUUUCGGGCUCUGCAGGCUCCCUGCAGGCCCUUGCUGACUGUCCAUGGCCUGCACCUGCCCUACCUGCUGAGCUGCCCCAUCAGCUGCUCCUGGCUGUGGUUUCCUGAGGGGUCCCGUCUGCAUCGGCUGCCCUGUGUCCUGACACUAUGGUGGGUUUGCAAGUGGCAAAGUCCAGGGAAGGAGACUGGGGAGCAUGGCCAUGGGUCAUCCGGGGGGCACGGAGGGUUCCGGCUCCCGCCCAGGUCCACCUGCUUCAUCAGCAGUGGUCACCAAGAUUGCAUAACCAGGACGAUGACAACGCUGAGAGCUCUGUUGCAGUUAAAGACUUAAGAACAACUUGUGCCUGCUGACUAAUACAUUUUAUCACCCAGGCAGCGUCAGGACUCUGAGAGCCUCUCACAUGCUGCUGUCAUCUGAGCGAGACCUCAAGAUUUGUCAUCGAGCAGGCUGACCCUUGCCUGAAUGGACCUCACAUUCUUGAGGCAGGGAGAGAUCUGCAAUCAGCAUGAUCGAUCAGCGAUUUUCAUAAGACGUUAGAAGUCAUCAGAGCUUAGGAAACAGGGUGAGGAAGUAGGGGAGGAGCCGGAAGGGCCCCCAUUUAAAACAAGGUGGCCAGGAUAGGCCUCUCUGUAGGGGUGACAUUGAAGAAAUGGUGGGAGAGGGUGUGAGGUGCACAUCUCUGAGGGCAGAGUGUUCUGGAGACAGGAAACCAUCUGUGCAAAGGCCCUGUGGUGAGAGGGUGCUAGGAGCUAGCAAGCCCAGUCUACUCAACACAGCCAUCAUUUUAAAACCUCGGUGAGCCCUGUCCCUUAUCUUCUGAACCCCCUCCCACAGAAGCGGAUGUCACUGAGAGUGAAAGCUGCAGUGUAGGGUGGCCUCCUCUGCACACCGGCCCUGGCCCUCUGACCUCUUCUACCCCAUGAUGGUCCCCUGUCAGCUGGGUCUAGAGUGGACCGUCGGGGCAGACCUGGAAGGGGAAGGCUGUCAAGUUCCUGCUCCCCUGUGACAUACAGCAACACAUUUGUUUCCCCCUGGAUUCUGGGGAUCAGCAACAUGUGCGGGUGGGGGCAGGGCAGUCCUGCUGCUCUGGGAUGGGCUGCCCCCUCAGGGAGGACUGGCCAGCUGGGUGGCUCUGCUCCUGGAGAGUGACCGGCCAUUUGCUGGGUGGAUGGGGUGACUGUCCUGAGAGCUUGGCACCACCAGAAGUGUAGUCCACGCAGCCCUUCACAGGUGGCUCAGGGUGCCCAGCGGGGCAAGAGGUGGCCCUCAAGCUAAGCUUGAGCUUAAGCCUAAGCCUAAGCUUGCCACGCUUGGGCUAGGAUGCCAAGUCUCCAUGCUGGCUGCUGGUCACAGCUCUGUCCCUGUGGGAGAAGACGACUGAAGCCUGGCCAGGCUGGGCCAUCUCCCCAGCAGCCACCAGGGCUUGCUGUGAGAUGUGGGAGCCAUGCUAGGGUCCUGCCCCGGGGAUGUUGGUAGGCAUGGUGGGAAGCAGUGCAAUUAUGGAUAUUUUCUGGAGAUAAUCAUCAACAGGAUUUGCUGAUGGAAUGGACCAGGCUCGAAAGAAGCACAGGGUGUGCAGCCCCAUUCUGGUAAGCGUGUCUCUGCCUUUACUGAGGUGUCUCCACUGCAUCCUUGAUUUAAUGGAAUUCAACUGAACCAUCAUUGAGCAUCUGUUGUAUACGAUGUACUCUGGAGGCAUAAAAACAGUGUCACUGGGGUUCCUCCAGUCUCAGUUCAUUUGUGUGCAUUUAUUUUCCGUAACUGUAUCACUGCUGUAGAGUAGGAUGGCCACCUUGACAGUCAAGAGGCAGAACAGCUCCACACGAGGGUUCCUGUCUUCCUUGCUCCUGGAACCAUUAAUCUGCUCUCCGUCUCUAUAAUUUUAUCCUUUGAGACUGUUACAUAAACAAAACCACACAGUAACCUCACAAGGCAUUUUUGCACUCAGUAAAAUGCCCUUGAGACCCAUUCACGUUGCUGUGUGUAUCAGAGCCCGUUCCUUUCCAUAGCUGAGCCGUGUUCCUGGUGUGGACACACCACUGUUUAAUCAGUCAUCGUCGAAGGACGGCUGCCUUGUCCCCCAUUUUCGACCAUUACAAAUGAAGCUUCCAUGAGCAUUCAUGUACAAGUUUCUUUGUGAACUUAAGCUUUCAAGAAAUUAAAAAAGAAAUGUUUUCAAAUGCUUGAGCAAAUAGCCAAGAUCCCAGGGCACCGUGGGAAAGUGUGGAAGUGAGGAUUUUUUUUUUUUUUUUGAGAUGGAGCCUUGCUCUGUGGCCCAAGCUGGAGUGCAGUGGCACAAUCUCGGCUCACUGCAACCUCCGCCUCCCGGGUUCACACCAUUCUCCUGCCUCAGCCUCCCGAGUAGCUGGGACUACAGGUGCCUGCCACCACACCUGGCUAAUUUUUUGUUUUUGUAUUUUUAGUAGAGAUGGGGAUUCACCGCGUUAGCCAGGAUGGUCUUGAUCUCCUGACCUCGUGAUCUGCCUGCCUCGGCCUCCCAAAGUGCUGGGAUUACAGGCAUGAGCCACCGCGCCUAGCUGGAAAUAAAGAUUUUAACUUGAAAAUUGUAUGAAUAAAAGUUACUAGUUGGCAACCUCGACCAUGAAACUAAACUUCAGCAUGGCUCACUUGGAGCCUGUGACUUUGAGAGCGCUGCCUCCUGCUUCUGCCUCCCUGCAUGAACUGACUUAGUGAAAGACGCUAUGGAAUAUUACCCGUUUGAAUGCUGGAGAAUGCCUGACAAAGACCAUUUAGCUUUGCCACCGUCAGCGUUCUUUCUAACUGCACCGAGCUGACACUGAGUCUUCAGUGUGCCUCUGCGAAUAAUACAAUUAUGCUACCAGCUGAGAAAAUAGCUCCCAUCUUUCUUUUGGCUUGGGCAGGAUGACAUGUGUUCAUUGCAUUUUUUUUUUUGAGGUGGAAUCUCGCUCUGUCACCAGACUGGAGUGCAGUAGUGCGACGUUGGCUCACUGCAACCUCUGCCUCCUGGGUUCAAGCUAUUCUGCCUCAGCCUCCGAGUAACUGGGACUACAGGGGCACGCCACCACAUCCAGCUAAUUUUUGUAUUUUUAGUAGAGACAGGGUUUCACCAUGUUGGCCAGGAUGGUCUCGAUCUCUUGAUCUCAUGAUCUACCUGCCUUGGCCUCCCAAAGUGCUGGGAUUACAGGCAUAAGCCACCAUGCCCAGCCAAUUUCAAAAUUUUAAGUGGUUAUUUUGAGAAUUUAAAACGUGGGGGAUGAGGACUUUGGAUGCUGCUGUAUCUGUAGUGAUUCUGAGAGUUGUGUUAUUUUGUAGUCAUACCUUACACAAGGCCUCCUCUGCUUUCUGAAUGUGGCAUGCAGGGGAGAGGGUCUGCACUGGUCCUCAACCCGGGUACAGCUGGAGUAUGUGGCUGACACCAGCGUGAGUGCUGUCCUUGGAGGAGACUGCAUUUCCCAAGUGGUGCUUCAGAAGAAGUUCCUGGAAUAAUAGUGGAGGACAUUUCACUUUGAUUUUUUGGGCAUGCUGUCUCAAAUGUCCUCCAUGCCCUCGGGCAAAUUGGAAGUCAAGGUUGGUCAAAUUUAGGGGUGUCUAAGACAGGCAUCUCCACCGGAUGCCUUACAUUGAUAGCAGUGACAUCAUUGUUUAAAUGAUCAUCUCUGAAUAAUCAAACAUAACAUGUUAUGUGUGGAUUUGUCUGCUAUCGCUGAAACUGUUCUGGAUUUGGAAGAACUGGACAGAGGUGCCUUGAGUGACGGUCAGUAUUCGAGUGUGAGGGCCAUAUUUUGUCACCUGAAUGAAGUAGGGUGCCAUUUCCAGAGGAGGCGUGGCGGAAGUGGUGCUUCUUGGCUGGGUGCCGGCUCAUCUAUUCAGCCUGACACAGUUCCACAUGUGCCUUUGACCAGUGCCACCCCUGGCCUGCACUGAAAUGCCGUAGUCUCUCUUCUUGGUGUGUUUCUAGACCUUGAUGAUCUUCCUGCCUGGUUAUCCUCUGAAUACUGCAUAGCCAUAUAUUGUCUUCCCUUGAAGGUCCAGAUUCAAACUUUUAGGAAUUCAUUCACCAAGUAUUUACAACAUGCCACAGAUUUUGUUAGUGUUGGGGAGACAAAAGGUAUAGUUCCAAGUGCCUUUAGAUGCCUUCAAGACAGACACAAGACACAAUCUGCACACGAAUUCCUGGUGUGGUGGCCCUGGUUGUGAGGUGUGACGGGAGUGCUGAUGAGGGACCCCAAGCCACCUGGGGCCAGAAGGGUCCUUUCCUCUGAGACCUGCUGGGCCACUAUCUCUUAGCUGGGUUAGCAGGUCUCCUUGAUAAGCAUCCACGUGGUCCAUGGCACACUGAGAGCUUCUCUCCCUGUCAGGCACCUAGGCAUUCCCUGUGUGUCUGUCUCAGGUCUUUCAACUGGCAUUGCAUUUGAUUUCUUUUCAGCCUUUGGUUAGUAUUCUCACUACACUAGGAAAACAUGUGAGGUGACCUCCACAACAAUACACAGGACCAUUAAAAAUAACAUCAGGGGGAAGGACCAGCCAGAGGAAGAGUGGGAGAUGAUGCCAGCAAAAGUCUGUCUGCAGGUGCAUCUGUCUGCAGGUUGCCCUGGGCUCCAGUGACCAGCCUGCUCUGUCUACCUUUGCAUGAUCUCCUGCAAAUUGAGUAGCUUAAUUUUUUUUAUUUUUAUUUUUAAAAUGGUAUCUCUCUGUCACCCAGGCUGCAGUGCAGUGGUACAAUCACAGCUUACUGCAGCGUCGACCUCCCGGGCUUAAGGGAUGCUCCCGUCUCAGCCUCCCAAGUAGCUGGGACCACAGGCACAUGCCACCACGCUUGGCCAGGUGGCUUACUUUAGUGUUAGUUGGUGUGCUACUAAAGAAUUAAAAAAAAUUAUCAUUGAGAGUGUAAUAUAAGCUGAUAAAAGCUUGAAAAUACUAGAUCUUCAUUGUUUCUAGAAAAUUUGGAACUCCAUGUUGGGAAUUCUAGAAUGGCUACGGCCGCCAGCCCUCAUUAGACCCUGAAAUGAAGGAACUCAGUCCUGUGGUUUGUUUUUAACUUCCUUUCUGUUUCUUUGUCCCUGUCUUUCUGAGCCUGGCUUUUGUUGUUGUUGUUGUUGUUGUUAAUCUGUAUUUAAUCCAAGCUCCAAUACUUUUCCCUGUGCAAGUCUUCAGGACAUUCCUUGCUCUUGAGUCCAAGUAUUUGCCUGUGAAAAACAGGGAAAAUGAUAUGUACCUUAUGCUGAUGUCACUGGGUAAAUUAAAUGAUGGCUAACUAUAUAAAAUGUCUAGUGAGGUGCCUGGAAGAAAACGUGUUCUCAGCAGCUCUUAGGAGUCCAGGUUUCAGUCCUGAUCUGCUGACUUCCACUGGAGUCCUGCUGGCACUCUGGGUGGUUAGAGGACAGGAGAGCCAUGCAGUGCACGGGGAGGAAGGCGGCAGUGCCAGCUCACAUCUGGCAGGGGGCAGUGGCCCUGGUGUUGGGAAGCCCAUACCUCCUGGCUGCUGUAGUGUGCUGUGACCCGCUUCACCUGCACCCAUCUACAGACCUGCCCUCGGGGUCCCUCAGUAAGAACCAACUGGGAUUCAACUUUAGCUGACAUGGAAGAGUGAUCUCUACACUGUAGAUGAGUAAAAGGCAAAAGUCUUGUAUUUAAUGAUAUCAAAGCAUGGUAAAUUAUUCAAAAAUUUUCACAUGGAGCAGUUGUUUUGAAUGAGGUCCACUUAAUGCUACUCAAUAAGGUCUUAAUUUGUAUAUGAUUUCACCAUUAAGUCUAUCAUGGUGCAACCAUUAAUAGCGAGCAUUGGUUAAAUACUUGCAUUAUUUGUAAGGGGAUUCCAUAAAAUAUAUAUAGUCAUUAAAAUUGUUUUGAGUAGGUAGCACAGUCAUAGAGUUCCAAAUUCAAAACGUACAAAAGUUUAAAUAAUGUAUUCUUCCACUCUUGUCUUGACACAAAUUCCCUUCCUAUGAAACAGCCAGUUCUAUAAUUUUUCUAAUAUUUUUCAGAAAUAGGUUACAUCUCUACAAAGGAAGUUAAUUCAUGUUCGUAUUCUUCCUUCUUUAUAUAAGUGGUAAAAAUACUGUACACACUCUUCUGCCCUUGUAAGAGCAAUAUAUUUUCAAGUGCAUUCCAUAUUUGCACACAAACAUUCCUUGCAUCCUUUCUACAGCUGCAUUAUAUUCUAUUGUAUGAUAUGCUGUAUUAUUUAAAAGUCCUUUAAUGAUGUAUACUUAUGGCUGUCUCCAACAUUUUGAUCUUACUAAUAGUGUUAUAAUAACAAGUAUGUGUAUAUGUCAUCUCACAUGUAUUAGAGUAUUUCUGUGUGAAAAUUCCUAGAAAUAAAAUUGCCAGAUCAAAAAAUACAUGCAUUAGUAAUUUGUAUGUAUUUUGCCAAACUGCUUUUAUAGAGGUAUGACCAGUUAGCAGCCUCACCAGCAGCACAGAAGCAAUGUAGAUAUGACAUCCCCACAAUCUCUCACUGACACACCAUGUUACCCAAUUUUUUUUCCUCAAAGAUCCUUGUUCUGACCAUUAUCCAAAUUUUGAUCUCUAUGAGAGAGGUGAAAAACAAUUUAAUAUAAUUUUAUUUGACAUCACCUUAUUAGAAGAGAGGUCAAGCCUUCUUUCCAAAUGUUUGAAGGGCAUUUGUAUAUUCUUCCUUUUCCCCCCACAUUUUCCUACUCUGUUUUGACCUGUUGGUUGUUGGUUUGUAAGAGUAUUGUAUUUAUUGGAAAAACUAGCAUUUUUAUGUUUGCGAAAUGCAAUUAUGUUCCCUAGCUUGUCUUUUUUUUUUUUUUCGAGACAGAGUCUCGCUCUUGUCGCCCAGGCUAGAGGGCAAUGGCGCGAUCUCAGCUCACUGCAACCUCUGCCUCCCGGGUUCAAGUGAUUCUCCUGCCUCAGCCUCCUGAGUAGCUGGGACUACAGGCAUGCACCACCACGCCCAGCUAAUUUUUGUAUUUUUAGUAGAAACUGGGUUUCACCAUGUUGGCCAGGCUGGUCUCGAACUCCUGACCUCAGGUGACCCACCCACCUCAGCCUCCCAAAGACCUGGGAUUACAGGGGUGAGCCACCGCGCCUGGCCGCUAGUCUUCUUUUUUAAGUACUCACUUAGAGUGGUUCUUUUUUGUA